rnacentral:rRNA from 1 species
UACUAGCUGUUCAAGUCGCAGCCAUCUUUAUUGGGUCUAAAACAUCCGUAGCUUGCCUAGUAAGUUUCUUGUGAAAUCCUGUAUCUUAAGUGCAGGGCGCGCAGGAAGUACUGCAAGGCUAGAGACUGGGAGACGUAAUCAGUACGGUUAAAGUAGCGGUAAAAUGUGUUAAUCUUAGCCGGACUCACAAUAGCGAAGUCAGAUUACGAGAACGGUUCUGACAGUAAGGGAUGAAAGCUAGGGGCGCAAAACGG